CAUGCUCAGUGCCGGCUCCCUGUCCCCCUCUCGUGCCGUGGUGACGGAGCUCCCAGUGCAGCCAAUCUCGGAGCCCUUUCCCCGGCUGUGGGUCGGCCCUGCGGGUUGUGCUGGGGGUAGUGGGGGUGUGACCUGGCUGACAGGCGGAGGUGGUAAUCCUGGCUCUAUCUAUCUAUCGGCUGUGUGUGCGCUGGGAGCAUCCUGUAUCCUCUGGGGGUACCCGUGAGAGCCAGCCAGGGACCUGAUACCCAGUGUGUGCCCACUGACCUGUGCCCAGCUCCUGCCCAGCUCCUGCCCAGCUCCUGCCAGCCCUCCCUCCUUUCUCUCCCGAGUUCACUCACACUAUUUCCCGUGAGCCUGGGGAACUUGCAGCCCAAAGUCAGCCAGCCCAGCAGCAUGUACCCCAGCAACAAGAAGAAAAAGCUAUGGAGAGAGGAGAAAGGUAGAUACCAGCCAUUGUGCUCAGUGAUGGAGACUGCCCAGGGUGUCUGCUCCCCAGCCUGGCUCAGUGAUGGAGACUGCCCAUGGUGUCUGCCCCCAGCAUGGCUCAGUGAUGGAGACUGCCCAUGGUGUCUGCUCCCAGCCUGGCUCAGUGAUGGAGACUGCCCAUGGUGUCUGCUCCCCAGCCUGGCUCAGUGAUGGAGACUGCCCAUGGUGUCUGCCCCCAGCCUGGCUCAGUGAUGGAGACUGCCCAGGGUGUGCUCCCCAGCCUGGCUCAGUGAUGGAGACUGCCCAUGGUGUCUGCCCCCAGCAUGGCUCAGUGAUGGAGACUGCCCAUGGUGUCUGCUCCACAGCCUGGCUCAGUGAUGGAGACUGCCCAUGGUGUUUGCCCCCAGCAUGGCUCAGUGAUGGAGACUGCCCAUGGUGUCUGCCCCCAGCAUGGCUCAGUGAUGGAGACUGCCCAUGGUGUCUGCUCCCCAGCCUGGCUCAGUGAUGGAGACUGCCCAUGGUGUCUGCUCCCAGCUUGGCUCAGUGAUGGAGACUGCCCAUGGUGUCUGCUCCCAGCAUGGCUCAGUGAUGGAGACUGCCCAUGGUGUCUGCUCCCCAGCCUGGCUCAGUGAUGGAGACUGCCCAUGGUGUCUGCUCCCAGCCUGGCUCAGUGAUGGAGACUGCCCAUGGUGUCUGCUCCCCAGCCUGGCUCAGUGAUGGAGACUGCCCAUGGUGUCUGCUCCCAGCCUGGCUCAGUGAUGGAGACUGCCCAUGGUGUCUGCUCCCAGCCUGGCUCAGUGAUGGAGACUGCCCAUGGUGUCUGCUGCCCAUGGUGUCUGCUCCCAGCCUGACUCAGUGAUGGAGACUGCCCAUGGUGUCUGCUCCCAGCCUGGCUCAGUGAUGGAGACUGCCCAUGGUGUCUGCUCCCAGCCUGGCUCAGUGAUGGAGACUGCCCAUGGUGUCUCUUCCCAGCAUGUAUCCUGACAUUGGGGGCACUGACCAGGGUCCUGAUCACACUGUGGAUGGACUCCAACUCCCACUGCUCUUAUUGUUAUUGGUGGCCACCAGGCUGGCUGCAGGACAUGUGGCUACAAUAACAUGGAAUCAGGGUGACAUUCCCAGGAUGCUAUGGGUGACCAGGGGCCACCAGGCUGGCUACAGGACAUGUGGCUAGCAUAACAUGGAAUCAGGAUGACAUUCCCAGGAUGCUUUAGGCGGCAGGGGGCCACCAGGCUGGCUACAGGACAUGUGGCUAGCAUAACAUGGAAUCAGGGUGACAUUCCCAGGAUCCUUUGGGUGACAGGGGGCCAACAGGCUGGCUGCAGGACAUGUGGCUACAGUAACAUGGAAUCAGGGUGACAUUCCCAGGAUCCUUUGGGUGACAGGUGGCCUUGCAUGCUGGGUAUAAUACAUGUGGCUAGCAUAACAUGGAAUCAGGGUGACAUUCCCAGGAUCCUUUGGGUGACAGGUGGCCUUGCAGGCUGGGUAUAGUACAUGUGGCUAGCAUAACAUGGGACUAGGGUUCCUUUCCCAGAAUUCUUUGAGUAGCAGGGUACAGGACAUGUGACUAUUAUAAGAUGGGAGUAGGGUACCAUAUCCAGAAUGCUUUAGUGACUGCUGUGUUUAGGACAUGUUGCUAGGCUGAGAGGGAGCAGGGUAUCAUACCCAGAAUGAUUUGGGCAGCAGGUGCCCUGCAGGUUUUGUACAGGUGGCUAGUGUAAGAUAAGAUGUGGCUAGUGUAAGAUUACCAUACCCAGAAUGAUUUGGGUGACAGGUGGCCCUGCUGGUUGGGUACAGGACAUGUGGCUAGCAUAAGAUGGGAGUAGACUACCAUUCCCAUAAUGCUUUGGGUGUCACAGAGCUGUCAGCACUCAUGGCAUGUGACCCUAUACAUAGGAAUAACACACUGGACACUUUAUAAGUAGACAGGAAGGUACUCCAGCAAAGCUUUCAUCUCAGAGAAUGUAGCUGAGGACAGAGCUUGUUGUGUAUAAGGCACUGGGAGUACUUUACUAGAUAAUUCUGUUAUUUGUGAUACUUUAUCAGAAACAUUCAGAUACAGUGUUAUUAUUGUACAUUUAUUGCACACAGUGCAGUGAGCUGCCUCCAUAUAAAUCACACACUCCACCUGCAGCUCAAAGUUUAUUUGUUUCGUUUCCUAGCUGUGCCUGCCAUGCUGAACUUUAUCCCUUCUUUCCCUGUGUUGUUGCCUCCCCUGUAUUUAUUUAUUUACUGCAGCCGCAGACUGUAUGGGGAGCCUGUCCCAAUACUGCCAUCACCCCAGGCUUCCUGCAAGUUUACUUUCCAUUUCCCAUUGACCAUACGUAUGAUUGUACAUGUAAAUUCAAAUGACAUGUAAACAAUGAGCAUUGUUCAUUUCAUGUGGGCUUGCUCUAUAUUUAUCUCCAUUACUUUAUUGUAACACGUGCUAUUAUUCCCUUACUGUAUUUACAGGGUGCAUUGCUUAUGCUGACACUUUGUUUCACCCUCUAUAGGCCUACACUACACCAAAUAUCCUGAUUAUUCUUUAAUCGCAAACAUUCCUUGUUUGUGCUUAUAUGGUGCCUGUACACAUGAUUUGUCACACUGGCGUAGAUCCCUCUGGCACACAACUGGUUAAUGCAAUUGUCGUCAUGCAUACUCUUAUCCUGUAUUGCUUAGAAACCAUAGAUUGUAUAUCUUGUGUAGGGAACACGUGCAUACAUGUGUGUGUAUAUAGGUUAUAUGAUGUCAGAAAUUGUGACGUUAAUAUUUGCAUGCCAAAAAAUACAUAAAUAUGCCCAAAUACAAUUAUUACUGAUUAUUCGUCUUAUUUAAACUUGGCCAACAAACUCAGAGCAGCACAGUUAAAUAGUGGCAGAUUGUUACGUCUGGGACUGUGUAGUAUUUGAGUACUUUGAAAACUAUAGGAAAAAGCUAGAAUUUCAUGUUGUACCUGAUCUGACUGUAUUUUGAUGACCUACAAGAUAUAGAACACGGUGACCUAUCAUUAAUGCAAGCUGAGAUAAAUGGAUUAACUGAAUAACUUGGGGAUCUGGGGUAGCUGUCCAGCUCUGGUAGUACUUACAUUUUCUCUAAUCAUUUUACAAGGAAAUGAGUGUGUCUGCCUGGGCAUCAUGGUGUUUGUAAUUCCUCACCAACUUUGAAAGCUAAAUUGGUUACCGCUCAUCUAUAGGUUAACUGAUUUUAUUCAUCUAAACGUGCUGCCUUAGCGUACUGCGUACAGGUAUAAGUUCAAAUAGAUCUUUCCAUAGAAAUUAUUUCAAUUUUUAAUUGCAUGACAAUUCUAGUGAAAGUUGCUAGUGAAAAGUUAGAAAGUGAAUCCGCUAUCACCUGCCUCUUCAAAUAACAUACUUGUUACUAGGCCUCUUUACUUUUUGUUUUGAGAAAUCCUGUAAAAUAAAUCUAAAACUUAUUUUGAAUCCAUCCAGUUUCUUCCCUGCCUUCUCCCUCAGUACACUGCGUCACAGAUCCCCUCUCCGAGGUCCAAUCAAAUGCUUCUCUUUGAGAAGCAUUGUUGAACCUUGUGAGCAUGUGCUCAGUGAACUGCCAAUCAUCGUCUUCUGAUAGAGAGGUGCACUUGUUUUGCUUAAGCAUUUUGUGUUACAAACAUUAAACAGUACAAAUUUGUAAGUUAAAAAAGGGAAUCAGCAGCAAUUAUAGUUUACAUUUUUAGAAUUCAAUCUCCUUUCCGUGUUUCUUUUUUUUUUUAACCCCUUUGCUUUAAACAAUUUCUCUUCUGAGCUUACUCAACAACAAUAUUGUAGAAAUAUAAAUAAUAUUUUUACAUGUAUUAAACAAUUAUGCAGUAAACUGAGACAUAUCAUAGCUGUAAAGGAAACAAAAUAUAGACUAGAAAACAAGUUGCAAAUAAAAUAGUAAUAAAAUAAAACACUGUCUUUAGAAUAUAACUGAUAAAAGCCUAAAUCUUGGUCCACUGAUAUACUUCGGUGUCUAUAGCCUGUCCCUGCAGAGAAAAGGCAGUGUUUACAUUGCUGCCUAGGUACACCUCUAAAGAGAUGCAUUGACUCAAUGUAUCUCUAUUAAGGAGAUGCUGAGUGCAGUGCUGCGUUUUGCCGCGCAUGUGCAAUAUCCUCACAAUGCCUUCCUAUGGGAAAGCAUUGGAUUGGAUGAGAUCAUUAAGAUUGAUGAUCUCAGCCAUUGAGGCGGGGCCAGCAGCGUUGAGACUGGAGUGGCAAUGGAGAAAAGGUGAGUAAAGCCAGUCACCUAAACAGUUAGUCUAACACUAGAGUGUUAGGAAUACGUGUUUUAAUUUCUGACACUCUAAUGUUCCUUUAACCCCUUAAGGACACAUGACAUGUGUGAAAUGUCAUGAUUCCCUUUUAUUACAGCAGUUUGGUCCUUAAGGGGUUAAACUUCGUAUUUUUGUAAUUUCGGUAUUAUAAGAGGAAAGCAUAGGUGCUAAAUACUCUUCUGGCACAGUCAUGACAGUAGUGCUAUUUACUUAAAUGUGAAUUGUCAGGUGUUCUAAGUGAAUUUCAAAUGUAAGGCCAUAAUGCAAUUUAUUUAUUUAUAAAAUAUUUUACCAGGAAGGAUACAUUGAUAUUCAUUUUCAAGUAUGUCCUGGAUCUACAAACACUGCAUUGUUACUGUAGGGGACAAUAUAAUAUUACAAAAAAUAAUACAAUAUACAUACACACAUAUAUAAAUUUAACACAUAGCAGGUAAUAAAUAUAACCAACCAUGACAGGUGCAUGGGGUUUGAAUGUUGAUACAUAGUAUAAAUGAAAAUGAUAUAUAGUAUAAAUAAAACACAAAACAACUUUGGCGAAUGGCCGUGACUUUUAUUACGGAUUUCACAAUUCCAAAUUAAAUAUCCAUAAUAAUAAUAAUAAUAAUAAACCGUAAAUUUAAACCAAAUAACCAAUAACCAUUAACCAUUUCCAGGCUCCGCCCCUUAAAGCCAGGAGCCAGAAAUAUAUAUUUACUACCAAAUAAACCACGUCCACCCUCCUGUGAUGCCCAGGAGGUUGACUUAUAUCCCAUAAUAAAGUCACAAUAGGAUCCCUAAAAGAAAAAAGGGGAGGGUGGGUGGGGCUGCAGCCUUUAAUUGUCUGCCGCAAGGUGAAUUAAUUUUUUGGCGCCUUUAAAUUUAUACCCGCUAUAUUAUUCACCCUUUCAAGUUGUUUAAUAUUUUUGGAUACACUCUUCAAAUUAUUUAUUAUUCAAAAAAAAUUAUUUUAAUAUUUUAAUAUUUGUUUUGACAAAUUGAUAUAUUUUUAAAAUGAUAUAUUUUUUUAUAUUUUAAUAUUUAAAAAAAUAUAUAUUUUAAAAGUUUAUUAAAAAAUAGUAAAUCAUUUGAAAAGCGUAUCCAGAAAUAUUGAACCGAGGACAUUGUUGGAAGAUAUAUAUUAGAUAUUAACAGUUUAAAAGUUUGAAAACUUUAAAUAGCAUAUCCCAAGACUCCUAAAUGGGACAAUACAAUUCCCUAAACACAUGGAAGCCUGUGCAUUAGGGGCUUCAGUUGAUGUACAAAGAAAUGGUGGGCAGGUUUUGCUAAAUAAGUUAUAUUUUUGAAGCGUGAUCUAUUUCUUCAAAAAAGUUAUUCCCUAAAGUAUACAUUUUUGGACAGUCAAAGAGAAUUCCAAAUGAGUCUGGCUAUUUUUCCUAGAACAUGAAAAUCACGUUUAAACUUUAGAGAAAUAACCCACGAACCAACAACGUUUAUAUUUUGAUCAAUUCAUUUUCCUCAUAUUGUUAGAUACAUUGUUAAUAUUUUACAUUACAGUUCUUUAUUGCAGAAAAUGUUUUUUUUUUUUUUAAUGAAGUAUGUCUGUCUAUGUUAUAAAGCAGCCUCUCGUCUCAAUUACCCAUAACGUUUUAGAUUGUAAGCUCUUGAACCAUCUUGCUGAACCCUUUGUAUAAAGCAGCUGUAGAUGCUAAAUUUUAGUUUCUGUAUGAGGCCCCCUGCUUUUGCCCUAUUUUACAGAUCUGUGUCUUAUGUCGGUGCGUUAUAACUAAUGAUAAUUUAUUUAUCUUUUUUGUACAGAGCGCUUGUCAAAGUUGACUCUGGAAGAGAGGCGUAAGGAAUACAAGGAUUUUGUAUCACUGGACAAAAUUCCAACAUUGUCGGAAGAUUUGAAGAGUAAAGCCUCGAAUAAUG